AGAGUUUGAUCAUGGCUCAGGACGAACGCUGGCGGCGUGCUUAACACAUGCAAGUCGAACGGUAAGGCCCUUCGGGGUACACGAGUGGCGAACGGGUGAGUAACACGUGGGUAAUCUGCCCUGCACAUCGGGAUAAGCCUGGGAAACUGGGUCUAAUACCGAAUAGGACCACAGGACACAUGUCCUGUGGUGGAAAGCUUUUGCGGUGUGGGAUGGGCCCGCGGCCUAUCAGCUUGUUGGUGGGGUGAUGGCCUACCAAGGCGACGACGGGUAGCCGGCCUGAGAGGGUGUCCGGCCACACUGGGACUGAGAUACGGCCCAGACUCCUACGGGAGGCAGCAGUGGGGAAUAUUGCACAAUGGGCGAAAGCCUGAUGCAGCGACGCCGCGUGGGGGAUGACGGCCUUCGGGUUGUAAACCUCUUUCACCAUCGACGAAGGUCCGGGUUUUCUCGGGCUGACGGUAGGUGGAGAAGAAGCACCGGCCAACUACGUGCCAGCAGCCGCGGUAAUACGUAGGGUGCGAGCGUUGUCCGGAAUUACUGGGCGUAAAGAGCUCGUAGGUGGUUUGUCGCGUUGUUCGUGAAAUCUCACGGCUUAACUGUGAGCGUGCGGGCGAUACGGGCAGACUUGAGUACUGCAGGGGAGACUGGAAUUCCUGGUGUAGCGGUGGAAUGCGCAGAUAUCAGGAGGAACACCGGUGGCGAAGGCGGGUCUCUGGGCGGUAACUGACGCUGAGGAGCGAAAGCGUGGGGAGCGAACAGGAUUAGAUACCCUGGUAGUCC
rnacentral:rRNA from 1 species